GUUUUCUCGUUGCAGUGGCGUUCCCGCUGGUUACUGUGCUCGUGAUAGUGCUGAGCUGCUCUGUGGUGGUGAAUGUUGCACUGAUUCUCACCAGAAAACAAAAACAAAAACCAGAUUGGAAACACAGCAGAGGAAAAGUUACAGCCAAUCAAUCUCCAGUCAGUCAACAGGAGAGAUCGACUGUGGAUCAGCUGAAUAAUGUGGAGGGUGAAGAAGCGGGAGUAAACUAUGCGGCACUUGAUUUUCCCUCAAGAACAGCUACAAGAUGA